UGCAAAUUUCCACACUAUGGAGCUCCC
rnacentral:piRNA from 1 species